UGGGGAAUUUUGGACAAUGGGGGCAACCCUGAUCCAGCAAUGCCGCGUGUGUGAAGAAGGCCUUCGGGUUGUAAAGCACUUUUGUCCGGAAAGAAAACGCCGUGGUUAAUACCCGUGGCGGAUGACGGUACCGGAAGAAUAAGCACCGGCUAACUACGUGCCAGCAGCCGCGGUAAUACGUAGGGUGCAAGCGUUAAUCGGAAUUACUGGGCGUAAAGCGUGCGCAGGCGGUCCGCUAAGACAGAUGUGAAAUCCCCCGGGCUUAACCUGGGAACUGCAUUUGUGACUGGCGGGCUAGAGUAUGGCAGAGGGGGGUAGAAUUCCACGUGUAGCAGUGAAAUGCGUAGAGAUGUGGAGGAAUACCGAUGGCGAAGGCAGCCCCCUGGGCCAAUACUGACGCUCAUGCACGAAAAGCGUGGGGGAGCAAACAGGAUUCAGAUACCCUGGUA
rnacentral:rRNA from 1 species